UACGUAGGGGGCAAGCGUUGUCCGGAAUCAUUGGGCGUAAAGAGCUCGUAGGUGGCGGGUCACGUCGGGUGUGAAAGCCCGGGGCUUAACUCCGGGUCUGCAUUCGAUACGGGUCUGCUGGGGUCCGGCAGGGGAGACUGGAAUUCCUGGUGUAGCGGUGAAAUGCGCAGAUAUCAGGAGGAACACCGGUGGCGAAGGCGGGUCUCUGGGCCGGUACCGACGCUGAGGAGCGAAAGCGUGGGGAGCGAACAGG
rnacentral:rRNA from 1 species